rnacentral:misc_RNA from 1 species
UAUUUUUUUUUUUUUUUUUUUUUUUUUUUUUUUUUAUGUAUGGGGGGGUGUUAGGUGUGUGUGGUUGCGGUAGAGAAAAGGAGAAAAUAAAAUAAAAUAAAAUUUUUUGGUGGUGGGGGUGGGGGGGGGUGGUAGGGGGUGGGUUUUUUUUUUUUUUUUUUUUUUUUUUUUUUUUUUUUUUUUUUUUUUUUUUUUUUUUUUUUUUUUUUUUUUUUUUUUUAAUACUAUAUAAUAUAUUAAGUAAUCUUAAAAACUA